GGGGAAUUUUCCGCAAUGGGCGCAUGUCUGACGGAGCAAUACCGCGUGAGGGAAGAAGGCUCUUGGGUUGUAAACCUCUUUUCUUAGGGAAGAAAAAAAUGACGGUACCUAAGGAAUAAGCAUCGGCUAACUCCGUGCCAGCAGCCGCGGUAAUACGGAGGAUGCAAGCGUUAUCCGGAAUGAUUGGGCGUAAAGCGUCCGCAGGUGGCAAGUCAAGUUUGCGGUUAAAGGUUCUGGCUCAACCAGGGACAGGCCGUGAAAACUGACUAGCUAGAGUAUGGUAGGGGCAGAGGGAAUUCCCAGUGUAGCGGUGAAAUGCGUAGAGAUUGGGAAGAACACCGGUGGCGAAAGCGCUCUGCUAGGCCAAAACUGACACUGAGGGACGAAAGCUAGGGGAGCGAAUGGGAUUAGAUACCCCAGUAGUCCUAGCCGUAAACGAUGGAUACUAGGUGUAGCUUGUAUCGACCCAAGCUGUGCCGUAGCUAACGCGUUAAGUAUCC
rnacentral:rRNA from 1 species